rnacentral:rRNA from 1 species
AACAGGAGCCGCAAGACAGGUGCUGCAUGGCUGUCGUCAGCUCGUGUCGUGAGGAUGUUGGUUAAGUCCGCAACGAGCGCAACCCUUGUCUUUAGUUGCCAUCAUUUAGUUGGGCACUCUAAAGAGACUGCCGGUAAUAAACCGGAGGAAGGUGGGAUGACGUCAAAUCAUCAUGCCCCUUAUGACCUGGGCUACACACGUGCUACAAUGGUUGGUACAACGAGUUGCGAGUCGGUGACGGCGAGCUAAUCUCUUAAAGCCAAUCUCAGUUCGGAUUGUAGGCUGCAACUCGCCUACAUGAAGUCGGAAUCGCUAGUAAUCGCGGAUCAGCACGCCGCGGUGAAUACGUUCCCGGGCCUU